AUGCCGCAGGAGCAGCCCAAGAAAUAGCAAAAAGACAAAAAAAAAUAUUCCCCAAGCCUUUGACUUUUUGUGGAACACUUCCUAUUUUGUAGAUUGUUUCGGUGUGUGGUUUGAAAACUCCGCUGGGCAUCCCCAGAUGAAGGCAUCCCUAGAAGGAGCUCCACUGUUUAAGAGCAUUUUGUUUCUGACGUUUUAAAGCAUAGGUGACAGCUCUCAAUCCAGUGGAUUGUCAUCCUUACCUCCAGAAAACCACAUUUCUUAUUGUUUGUGGUACCUAAGUCCCCCGUCUCUAGAACUCCCCCUGUGGAAGCGAGCCUUCGGCAGAAUCUCAGAUCCACAGAGCGGGGCCAGCACCGUCAGCUCUACCAUUUGUACCCAGACUUUUGAUAUUGCAGAACAUGUUUUAUACAGCGUGUGUACUACCACUAAAAUGAAGAGGAAAAAGCUGCAAAAAAUGGCCUCAGAAUCGUUUGGUUUCGGAGUUCACUGGCGUUAAUUGUCCCACGGAUGCUGAUGAAAUGUUGACGUAUAUAAUACGUUCGUCUUUAUUUUCUACGGAAUCUUGAGAUCGCCUGUGUCGCAUGGUGACUGGGGUUAAUAACACGGUUCAGGAUUCUGGAACUUUGCUAAGAGCAUAGACCUCAGGUGCCUGGCCACACACCGCAAAUGCCCAGUGUGUUAGAAGGUGCAUAUGCUAAUUGACUGGACUGCAUAAUCAUUUCACCACAGAUACGUAUAUGAAAACAGCAGGCUGUACUCCUUAAACAGAAACAGUUGUUAUUUUUUUUUAAAGGUUUGGGAUAGACGGGAUGCAGACGGAGAUGAGAGAAUUCAGCUACCCCCCAUCUCGCAAAAAGCAGCAAAGCAGAUGGUUCAUCCUGACGGACCAGCAGAGCUUAGAGGAGCCAAAGCCCCAAAGACAGAGCCGUUCCUAGAACCGGGGAAUUUAGCCGUCCUUCUAGUCCUCCCUUCUGUCAGCCUCAUCCGCAGGACCGCUGGCAAGGCUGAUUUCGAAUGAAUCAUCCUCGGCAUUUGCCCCCCUUCGAACUGCUUAUCCGUCACUUCAGGGAAAUUGCUCCUUGUCCUCAGCGGCAUGCGGUAUCAGCUCAGACACUGUCCCCAGACCACAGAGUUGAAGGAAAUCCUGCAUUAUGUAUACAUAUACACACGUGCAUUUAUUUCAAAUUGUCUACGCAUCGAUAAACUCAGCCGCUUGGCAGUGAAGGGCUUUACCACAGCCUUUCAGUCACUUAGCAGCCUGUGUUCGUCCAGGAGAGGUUAGGUGUGUGGCUUAGAGACGACCUUUAAAAAGCACCGAGACAUUCAUUUUCGCCACAGCUCUAGCAGCGUCACUUCUACUUAGGAGACCUGCAUAUUUCUUGACACGCUAAAAAUUUUUUCUUGAUGCAGUAGCAUAUUGUUUAAUUUUUAAUUUAUUUUUUAAUUACUCAGUGAGUUUUAUCACAUUCGUAGUUGCACAGUGAUCAUCCCAACCCGAUUUUAUAGCAUCCUCGACACCUUCGAACGUCCGUAAACUGUGUUCAUGACGACAUCUCCUUCUGCUUUAAGACAACGCCCGGCCCCUUCAGCGCGUGUGUCUUCAAGGCACAGAGCUAGAGCGUCUUCACUUCUCAUCAAAUCCAGGCACACGCUCGACGGUGAGUGGAAAUCGGGCUUAUGGCCCCCACGCCCAGUGCCCCGGUAGGCAGAGUGAGCGGGCCGCUGAGAAAGAACUGAGCCGCCACACCUUGCCCAGGCGGUGGCUCCAGACCCACACCCUUCUCGUCGGGUCCGCAAUCCUCGAUCUGCUGCUCGGAAAUCAAAGGGCCCUGGAAAGCCAGACUUUUCAGCGGCAUAUCUGGUCCUCACUCUGAUGGCCCCAUCUCACCAAGUGGGACUAUUAAUAGCCGGGUUGCAGGUGCUGCCCCAGACCCACUGCAGGUGUGAGGUGAAGGCAUGUGCUCCCCCAGUACGUUUCUAAAACCAAAACGUCUAACCUUUGAAACCCAUCUGGCGCCAAAGCUUUUUGGAUAAGGAAUCGCGAACUGCACAUUUCCUUAUAACACUGAAGACAUUCACAAAAUCAGCGGGGGUGGUGGCAGGUUUAACAUUCUCUCUCCUGUAUGGGCGGCUGGAUGUGCUCACAACACCUUGUGCAAAAUUAUAACACGUAGCACAACAGAGCAGGCCUAAUAGUUUUUAAUCUGGUAUUAUCUGGAUUGGACUGACAGCUCCUCCAGAGAGAAUGUCUAUUGUUUAUUUUUCCUUAUUACACAGUAUAACAUGCUCCACUGUACGAGUCUAAGGCGCAUGUAUUGUCAACUGAUUCCCACAGGAAGCUUGGUUAAUGCCCACAAUGAAUGGAAGCCGGAUGCGCAGACGCAUUCUUUUCAGUGGCUACAGAAUAUCCCACAGGCUCAAUCAAUAACGUAAUGGAUUUAACUGCUCCCUUAUUGUUGGGCUUCCCAGUUGUUCCCAAUUUGUUUAAAAUGACUAGAGGAACUUUCUUAAGCAGAUUAUUAGUCACUCGGUAAAAAGGUACAGAAUUGAUUAAAGUGAUUUUCACCCACUAAAAUCCUAGUUUAGAAGGUUUAGUUGGAUGCUUAAGGGGAAUCUGAAGGAAUGAACCCAGAUGAAAACAUCUUGUUUGUGGAGAGGAGGAGCUGAAGCCUAGGGGAAGAGAGGCCACACAGGCACCAGGGCCGGGCGGGGACCAG